ensembl:lncRNA
GCCAUAGUACCUCACUGCCUGUUUAUGUGCCAAAUUAACUGUCUGUGGUGGACUGAGCUAGUCUCGUUAGUCACUAUGUCACCAAGAGUAAUUACACCUACACGGGUCCACCCCUCGCCUCAUAGGCAGACACACACACACACACAAACCCCUCGCCUCAUAGGCAGACACACACACACAUAAACCCCUCGCCUCAUAGGCAGACACACACACACACACACAAACCCCUCGCCUCAUAGGCAGACACACACACACACACACAAACCCCUUCGCUCAUAGGCAGACACACACACACAUAUAAACCCCUCGCCUCAUAUGCAGACACACACACACACUUAAACCCCUCGCCUCAUAGGCAGACACACACAAACCCCUCGCCUCAUAGGCAGACACACACAAACCCCUCGCCUCAUAGGCAGACACACACACACAUAAACCCCUCGCCUCAUAGGCAGACACACACACACACAAACCCCUCGCCUCAUAGGCAGACACACACACACACAAACCCCUCGCCUCAUAGGCAGACACACACACACACACAAACCCCUCGCCUCAUAGGCAGACACACACACACACACACACAAACCCCUUCGCUCAUAGGCAGACACACACACACAUAUAAACCCCUCGCCUCAUAUGCAGACACACACAAACCCCUCGCCUCAUAGGCAGACACACACACACACACACAUAAACC